CGGACGGGUGAGUAACGCGUGAGAAUCUGCCCUCAGGAGGGGGAUAACGGUUGGAAACGACCGCUAAUACCCCAUAUGCCUAAUGGUGAAAUGAAUUUCGCCUGAGGAUGAGCUCGCGUCUGAUUAGCUAGUUGGUGUGGUAAUGGCUCACCAAGGCUUCGAUCAGUAGCUGGUCUGAGAGGAUGAUCAGCCACACUGGGACUGAGACACGGCCCAGACUCCUACGGGAGGCAGCAGUGGGGAAUUUUCCGCAAUGGGCGAAAGCCUGACGGAGCAACGCCGCGUGAGGGACGAAGGCCUCUGGGCUGUAAACCUCUUUUCUCAAGGAAGAAGAUAUGACGGUACUUGAGGAAUAAGCCACGGCUAAUUCCGUGCCAGCAGCCGCGGUAAUACGGGAGUGGCAAGCGUUAUCCGGAAUUAUUGGGCGUAAAGCGUCCGCAGGCGGCUUUUCAAGUCUGCUGUUAAAGCGUGGAGCUUAACUCCAUCAUGGCAGUGGAAACUGAAAGGCUUGAGUAUGGUAGGGGCAGAGGGAAUUCCCGGUGUAGCGGUGAAAUGCGUAGAUAUCGGGAAGAACACCAGUGGCGAAGGCGCUCUGCUGGGCCAUUACUGACGCUCAUGGACGAAAGCCAGGGGAGCGAAAGGGAUUAGAU
rnacentral:rRNA from 1 species